rnacentral:rRNA from 1 species
GAUGAACGCUGGCGGCGUGCCUAAUACAUGCAAGUCGAGCGAACAGAUAAGGAGCUUGCCCCUUUGACGUUAGCGGCGGACGGGUGAGUAACACGUGGAUAACCUACCUAUAAGACUGGGAUAACUUCGGGAAACCGGAGCUAAUACCGGAUAACAUAUUGAACCGCAUGGUUCAAUAGUGAAAGGCGGCUUUGCUGUCACUUAUAGAUGGAUCCGCGCCGUAUUAGCUAGUUGGUAAGGUAACGGCUUACCAAGGCAACGAUACGUAGCCGACCUGAGAGGGUGAUCGGCCACACUGGAACUGAGACACGGUCCAGACUCCUACGGGAGGCAGCAGUAGGGAAUCUUCCGCAAUGGGCGAAAGCCUGACGGAGCAACGCCGCGUGAGUGAUGAAGGUCUUCGGAUCGUAAAACUCUGUUAUCAGGGAAGAACAAAUGUGUAAGUAACUGUGCACAUCUUGACGGUACCUGAUCAGAAAGCCACGGCUAACUACGUG